AUUGAACGCUGGCGGAAUGCUUUACACAUGCAAGUCGAACGGCAGCACGGACUUCGGUCUGGUGGCGAGUGGCGAACGGGUGAGUAAUGUAUCGGAACGUGCCCAGUCGUGGAGGAUAACGUAGUGAAAAUUACGCUAAUACCGCAUACGAUCCAUGGAUGAAAGCGGGGGAUCGCAAGACCUCGCGCGAUUGGAGCGGCCGAUAUCAGAUUAGGUAGUUGGUGGGGUAAAGGCCCACCAAGCCAACGAUCUGUAGCUGGUCUGAGAGGACGACCAGCCACACUGGAACUGAGACACGGUCCAGACUCCUACGGGAGGCAGCAGUGGGGAAUUUUGGACAAUGGGCGAAAGCCUGAUCCAGCCAUUCCGCGUGCAGGAUGAAGGCCCUCGGGUUGUGAACUGCUUUUGUACAGAACGAAAAGGUUUCUACUAAUACUAGGAGCUCAUGACGGUACUGUAAGAAUAAGCACCGGCUAACUACGUGCCAGCCGCCGCAGUAA
rnacentral:rRNA from 1 species